rnacentral:rRNA from 1 species
CCAUGCAGUCGAACGGCAACACGAGAGAGCUUGCUCUCUUGGUGGCGAGUGGCGGACGGGUGAGUAAUAUAUCGGAACGUGCCUAGUAACGGGGGAUAACUACUCGAAAGAGUGGCUAAUACCGCAUACGCCCUACGGGGGAAAGGGGGGGAUCGCAAGACCUCUCACUAUUAGAGCGGCCGAUAUCGGAUUAGCUAGUUGGUGGGGUAAAGGCUCACCAAGGCAACGAUCCGUAGCUGGUUUGAGAGGACGACCAGCCACACUGGGACUGAGACACGGCCCACACUCCUACGGGAGGCAGCAGUGGGGAAUUUUGGACAAUGGGGGAAACCCUGAUCCAGCCAUCCCGCGUGUAUGAUGAAGGCCUUCGGGUUGUAAAGUACUUUUGGCAAAGAAGAAAAGGUACCUCCUAAUACGAGGUACUGCUGA